GUGCACUGGCGGGCCCUCCCCUCGGGCGUUGCCUCCCACCCACGCCCGGCGGCACCGCACCCCGAGGCGCUUCACGUCACGGAGCUGCUAAGAGACGGGCGGGGCUCCGGUUCCGGACGGAGCCUCACUCUGUCGCCCAGGCUGGAGUGCAGUGGCACAAUCUCAGCUCACUGCAGUCUCGACCUUCCGGGUUCAAGCAAUUCUCC
rnacentral:lncRNA from 1 species